CCCCGCCCCGUUCCCAGAAAUUCCGCCCGCCCAACGGCCCGCCCGGGUCGUGUUUCGCGGUGACGGGCAAUGAGACCGCGGGCGGGCCGGAGGCUGCAGGGUGCGAGCCGACGUAUUCAAGAGAUAAAGGCGAGGAAGUGAAGGUCCCGCGGGCGCGCAGCGGUCCGGAGCCGGGCUGCGCGGCGGCGCCUUCCGGGACGCGAAGUGACCGCCUCUCCGAGCUCGCCGGGCCGCGCCGAGGUCAGCCUGCGGGGCUCGGGCAGGAAAGUUGGCGCGGAGUGGGCCUGGGAGCGCGCGAGGCCCCGCGAUUGCAACUUUUUAGAAAUUAUCAGCACCAGCAGAACAAAGACCUUCUUCAGGGGGUGUGGGGAGAGGCUUGGCGGGCCGCUUAUCUGUCACCUUGUUUUUAUCGCAUCCCUGGGCAGGAGGACCCCCGCCCCGCUUAAACAGGGGCGCCCUGGCUAGUGGACCUGGCGAGCCCUGGCCGUGGCCCGGUCUCGAGCCCCGUGUUCUACCGCCUGGGGCGCAGCAUGGGGACCCCGCGUCCUCCCCGGGGCUCCUGCCCGCAGCCCCUGGCGGGCGGCGACCGGGCCCCGCGCAGCUGCCCCGGAGCCUUUGUCGCUGGCGCCGGAGGAGCAGCUCUGGUCCCAGCUUUGUUGGUGCGAGAAGGAGGGUUUGGGUGAAAGCGCCUGCGAAACUGGAACAGGAAAACCAAGCAGCAGCCGCCGCUUCUGGCUCCCACACUUUCACACAAAGGGGGACCUCGGAGCCAGGCACCGUGACGUGCCUUCAAGUGCGCAAAAGCCGAGAACACGGUGCCCUGGGUGUCCUGGAUGUCCUUCGUGCUUGGUUCUGCAUACAGAUGCCCCUGUCCCUGCCGCCACCGCGUCUUCGAUGUUUGCUUCUGUAACAAAGAGCCCGCUGGUCCGGAGCGCGCGGAGCCGCUCCGCUGCCCUGGACUCCGCGGCGACGUCGCCAGGGACCCUCACCGGGCGCAGUGCACACCGGGUCAUUUCUGGGCUCCAGCGUGAGUCUUUGCUGCUCUACGACUUUUGAAGGAUAAAGAAACUCCGAGCUGUUCUUGAGAGGAAGUGGGAGCUCUGGAGAUAACCCUAAAGCAGGGCUCAAAUAUAGAAAAACUACAGGAGGCUCCCCUGUCUUGAGACCCUGCAAAAUCUAAGAAUUUAAAAAUCUCCUUUUUAAAGCUAUGUAUAGUACUUUGGGUAAUUCUUUCUUUGCAAUUUUAAGAAGUAACUCUGGGAGGCUCCUAUUCUUAUUUAAAAAAUUUUUUUUCUUAAAUGCAGAAAAGCAUGAUGGUUAAUGAGAGAUCUCAACUCUGACAAAGUUUUGUGAAUUCCUCGGCUCUAAAACAUGUUAACAGCUGGUGUGGUCGUGCAUGCCUGUAAUCCCAGCACUCGGGAGGCUGAGGCAGGAGAACUGUCGUGAGUUCAAGGCCAGCCCAGGCUACAUAGUGGGUUCAAGCCAAAGGAACGUGGGCAGAAGUGACAGUGUGAUCGUUCAGAGCCUGGUCUCCAGAAAUACUGCAUGUUAAUGCCUGCCUCCCCAGCGCGCCUGUCUUUCACAAUGUUAAGAACAUGCCUGAGGAGUCCACUGUCCAAGAAUAUGGAAUAGGUCUUCCUCAACUUGCAGCUAGUGAAUUGUAGAGAAAAGGGUGUUGCUUUAAAAUACCUCUGUUUAGGGGUGGUACACGUCCUAGAAUUAGUGUUUCAUUACUGAUAUAAUAGUAAAUAGAGUAAACUGCUCCCUUGGGGUUGGCCAUAGAGGUCUCCACCUUGAUGUGUGUAAGACAGCUCUUUCCUAUUGGAUCUCAGACACAGCCCCUGUGGAGGCAGGCCAAGUAAGCAAGCCAGAAAGUUUGUAGCAAUGCAUUCUGAACAGAUUGGGGUCAGUAGGAGGCACCUGCUGUGUUUGUUAGUCCCCAAAGCAAGCUAAUGAUUAUGGAGUAUAUCUCUAUGUUACUUUUGCCUCUAUUUUUUUAUAUCACACAAUUUAUUUUCUAAUCAUGCAAAUGAUUCAUUAAUACAUGCAGGUAUAAAUAGGAUCGCCUUGUGUGUGUUAAGUAAAAUGCUGUUACACUUA